AUUGAACGCUGGCGGAAUGCUUUACACAUGCAAGUCGAACGGUAGAGGGGGCAACCCCUUGAGAGUGGCGAACGGGUGAGUAAUAUAUCGGAACGUGCCCAGUCGUGGGGAUAACGUAGCGAAAGUUACGCUAAUACCGCAUACGAUCUACGGAUGAAAGCGGGGGGACUCGCAAGAGCCUCGCGCGAUUGGAGCGGCCGAUAUCAGAUUAGGUAGUUGGUGGGGUAAGGGCUCACCAAGCCAACGAUCUGUAGCUGGUCUGAGAGGACGACCAGCCACACUGGAACUGAGACACGGUCCAGACUCCUACGGGAGGCAGCAGUGGGGAAUUUUGGACAAUGGACGCAAGUCUGAUCCAGCCAUUCCGCGUGCAGGAUGAAGGCCCUCGGGUUGUAAACUGCUUUGUACGGAACGAAACGGUGAGCUCUAAUACAGUUUGCUAAUGACGGUACCGUAAGAAUAAGCACCGGCUAACUACGUGCCAGCAGCCGCGGU
rnacentral:rRNA from 1 species